rnacentral:rRNA from 1 species
UACGUAGGGUGCUAGCGUUGUCCGGAUUUAUUGGGCGUAAAGGGCUCGUAGGCGGCGUGUCGCGUCGGGAGUGAAAGCCCGCUGCUUAACGGCGGGUUGGCUUCCGGUACGAGCAUCGCUGGAGUGCGGCAGGGGAGACUGGAAUUCCUGGUGUAGCGGUGGAAUGCGCAGAUAUCAGGAGGAACACCGGUGGCGAAGGCGGGUCUCUGGGCCGUUACUGACGCUGAGGAGCGAAAGCGUGGGGAGCGAACAGG